CUGCAGCCAGCGAGGCCUCCAGGUUCCUUUUCUCAUGGGGACCUGGUAUGCCACGGCUAUAAACAGCAACCUCCUUGGUAGUGUGGGUUGCCUGAGUUGCCCUAAGGGAACUUGGAGACUUUG
rnacentral:snoRNA from 1 species